CCUACGUGGUGCAGCAGUGGGGAAUAUUGGACAAUGGGCGAAAGCCUGAUCCAGCCAUGCCGCGUGUGUGAAGAAGGCCUUCGGGUUGUAAAGCACUUUCAGUGGGGAAGAAAGCCUUGGGGCUAAUACCCUCGAGGAAGGACAUCACCCACAGAAGAAGCACCGGCUAACUCCGUGCCAGCAGCCGCGGUAAUACGGAGGGUGCGAGCGUUAAUCGGAAUUACUGGGCGUAAAGCGCGCGUAGGCGGUCUGAUAAGCCGGUUGUAAAAGCCCCGGGAUCAACCUGGGAACGGCAUCCGGAACUGUCAGGCUAGAGUGCAGGAGAGGAAGGUAGAAUUCCCGGUGUAGCGGUGAAAUGCGUAGAGAUCGGGAGGAAUACCAGUGGCGAAGGCGGCCUUCUGGACUGACACUGACGCUGAGGUGCGAAAGCGUGGGUAGCAAACAGGAUUAGAUACCCCAGUAGUC
rnacentral:rRNA from 1 species